rnacentral:lncRNA from 1 species
CUUUCAAUAAUUUAUUCGUUAUCCUUUUUUUAAAAAAAAAAAUUCUCAUAUUUUAAAAUAAAAUAGCUUAUAAUUGUCUUUUUUUUUUUAUUUAAUAUGCCUGUAUGCUUCGUUGCUUCUUGCACCCAAACAGCUUUUUGAGAAUUUAAUCUAGGGAAAACUUUAAAAAAACCCCAGUGGUUUCGUAGUUUUUCAUUUUGCCCCUCUGUGGUUUACAAUGUAUCAAUUUGCCCCUCUGUGAUUUUUUUUUCUCUUUUUCUUAUCAAUUUUAUUAUUUUUUUUUAUUAAAUGAGUGAUAAAGUUAAAAUUAAAGAAUACUAAAGUGAAUAUUUAAUAAAUCUAGAUGGGUAUUUGAAAUUUUUUGUAUAUAAUUUAAUGAAAUAUUAACGAAAAAGCUACCGAAAAGAUAAAAACGAAACCACAAUGGGGCAAUUUGAUAUAUUUUAAACCACAGGGGACAAAGUGAGAAACUACAAAACCACAUGAGGAGUUUUUGAAGUUUUUCCUUUAAUCUAUUAAAAGGCCCUGAUUUAGGUUGUAGUUUAUUGUGAU